rnacentral:rRNA from 1 species
UACGUAGGGAGCAAGCGUUGUCCGGAAUCAUUGGGCGUAAAGCGCGCGCAGGCGGUCCUUUAAGUCUGAUGUGAAAGCCCACGGCUCAACCGUGGAGGGUCAUUGGAAACUGGGGGACUUGAGUGCAGGAGAGAAGAGUGGAAUUCCACGUGUAGCGGUGAAAUGCGUAGAGAUGUGGAGGAACACCAGUGGCGAAGGCGACUCUUUGGCCUGUAACUGACGCUGAGGCGCGAAAGCGUGGGGAGCAAACAGG